GAUGAACGCCGGCGGCGUGCCUAAUACAUGCAAGUCGAGCGAACGGACGAGAAGCUUGCUUCUCUGAUGUUAGCGGCGGACGGGUGAGUAACACGUGGAUAACCUACCUAUAAGACUGGGAUAACUUCGGGAAACCGGAGCUAAUACCGGAUAAUAUUUUGAACCGCAUGGUUCAAAAGUGAAAGACGGUCUUGCUGUCACUUAUAGAUGGAUCCGCGCUGCAUUAGCUAGUUGGUAAGGUAACGGCUUACCAAGGCAACGAUGCAUAGCCGACCUGAGAGGGUGAUCGGCCACCCUGGAACUGAGACACGGUCCAGACUCCUACGGGAGGCAGCAGUAGGGAAUCUUCCGCAAUGGGCGAAAGCCUGACGGAGCAACGCCGCGUGAGUGAUGAAGGUCUUCGGAUCGUAAAACUCUGUUAUUAGGGAAGAACAUAUGUGUAAGUAACUGUGCACAUCUUGACGGUACCUAAUCAGAAAGCCACGGCUAACUACGUG
rnacentral:rRNA from 1 species